rnacentral:rRNA from 1 species
GGCUUACACAUGCAAGUCGAGGGGCAGCAUUUCAGUUUGCUUGCAAACUGGAGAUGGCGACCGGCGCACGGGUGAGUAACACGUAUCCAACCUGCCGAUAACUCGGGGAUAGCCUUUCGAAAGAAAGAUUAAUACCCGAUAGUAUAAUUAGACCGCAUGGUCUUAUUAUUAAAGAAUUUCGGUUAUCGAUGGGGAUGCGUUCCAUUAGGCAGUUGGUGAGGUAACGGCUCACCAAACCUUCGAUGGAUAGGGGUUCUGAGAGGAAGGUCCCCCACAUUGGAACUGAGACACGGUCCAAACUCCUACGGGAGGCAGCAGUGAGGAAUAUUGGUCAAUGGGCGCAGGCCUGAACCAGCCAAGUAGCGUGAAGGAUGACUGCCCUAUGGGUUGUAAACUUCUUUUAUAUGGGAAUAAAGUUUUCCACGUGUGGAAUUUUGUAUGUACCAUAUGAAUAAGGAUCGGCUAACUCCGUGCCAGCAGCCGCGGUAAUACGGAGGAUCCGAGCGUUAUCCGGAUUUAUUGGGUUUAAAGGGAGCGUAGGUGGACAGUUAAGUCAGUUGUGAAAGUUUGCGGCUCAACCGUAAAAUUGCAGUUGAUACUGGCUGUCUUGAGUACAGUAGAGGUGGGCGGAAUUCGUGGUGUAGCGGUGAAAUGCUUAGAUAUCACGAAGAACUCCGAUUGCGAAGGCAGCUCACUGGACUGCAACUGACACUGAUGCUCGAAAGUGUGGGUAUCAAACAGGAUUAGAUACCCUGGUAGUCCACACAGUAAACGAUGAAUACUCGCUGUUUGCGAUAUACAGUAAGCGGCCAAGCGAAAGCAUUAAGUAUUCCACCUGGGGAGUACGCCGGCAACGGUGAAACUCAAAGGAAUUGACGG